GCUUCAAUGGCGCAGCUGGUAGCGCACAUCACUCGUAAUGAUGGGGUCGCCGGUUCGAAUCCGGCUUGGAGCU
rnacentral:tRNA from 1 species